UACGGAGGGUGCGAGCGUUGUCCGGAAUCACUGGGCGUAAAGGGCGCGUAGGUGGCGCGAGGAGUCAACGGUGAAAGCUCGGCGCUCAACGCCGAGUCGGCCGUCGAUACUCUCGUGCUCGAGCACUGUAGAGGCAGAUGGAAUUCCGGGUGUAGCGGUGGAAUGCGUAGAGAUCCGGAAGAACACCGGUGGCGAAGGCGGUCUGCUGGGCAGUUGCUGACACUGAGGCGCGACAGCGUGGGGAGCAAACAGG
rnacentral:rRNA from 1 species